AUGUCGAAAAAAGAGUGUCAAAUCCAAAGAUCUUGUAAUGCCACAACUUCAAGUAUGACCGUACAAGCUUUAAUAUGCCCCUUAUAUUGUCCCUACCAAGCAAAUUCACAGUUCUUUCAUUUUCGGUUCAUACAAUCUAUACUACCAAGCAUUUCUGGAAAGCCUCUCGAUUCAUUAAUCGCCAACAACCGGGUUGUAUCCGCAGCAUUUGGUACUCUCGAUUACUCUGGGCCAAACACUGCCACCACAGCUUUGCAGAACUUGUACAAUGAUGCAAGACAUGUAGACUCACUCAUGCGGACAUACUCAUCCAUGCGAUCACCGGGAAUUCCAUAUGCAUCUGAAUAG
rnacentral:rRNA from 1 species